rnacentral:rRNA from 1 species
UAGGGAAUCUUCCACAAUGGACGCAAGUCUGAUGGAGCAACGCCGCGUGGGUGAAGAAGGGUUUCGGCUCGUAAAACUCUGUUGUUAAAGAAGAACAUAUCUGAGAGUAACUGUUCAGGUAUUGACGGUAUUUAACCAGAAAGUCACGGCUAACUACGUGUCAG